CCAAACGAUCAUGCAUUCAGUAUAAAUACGUACAUGGUAUUGACAUCCCAAUAUUUAGUGGGAAGUUUCCAGGUAUCAUCCGCUAGCGACAGUCUACUGACAAAUCCAGACAUGCAUUGGAAGGAUGCUGAUGUGGAGGACACAGGAACACCUGAUCCCAGAACUGUGGCAUUUCAUUCGGGGUGACAACCUGGCUUUCAGUUGGUAUGACUCUUUGAGGUUGAAUAUAGGGUUUAAUCAGUAUAAAUGUGAUUAACAUUCAAAUAAAUCCAGAUAAUACAUUCACAAUUGGAAUCAUGGCAUUAUGGUACACUGAUAUGUGUGUACCAUUUUACUGGGUUUUUUUUUUUUUUUUUUUUUUUUUUGCUGCAUAACUAGGGAUCGUAUACAUACAAAAUGAGACAAUUUCUAAUUAGUUUCUAAUUAUAAGGUAUGACACGUUUUAAGGUAUGGUGGCCAAUACUGAUUUUAUUUUUAUUUGCAAUUUUCUUUCAGAUAUGGGACUCUAUUAUUCGGAAAACUGCAGAUUUUAUGAAGCUGUCUUUGACAGAAGAUUUGGUUUUCUCCAUCUGUGUUGCCACCAACCAUUAUGCUGAGAUAGUCAUAACUAGGGGGAAGGGUUGCCAUAUACUUCCCAAAGAAGUUUGCAGCCUCUCACUGAAGAGGAACUGUACAGAUUUUUGUGCAUUAUCUUAUACACGCCUGCUGUGAAGUUCCAGUCGAUAGACAGAUAUUGGUCAACGCAUGCCCCUGUCGGAAC